GGACGUAAGAGCUCGUAGGUGGUUUGUCGCGUUGUUCGUGAAAACUCACAGCUCAACUGUGGGCGUGCGGGCGAUACGGGCAGACUAGAGUACUGCAGGGGAGACUGGAAUUCCUGGUGUAGCGGUGGAAUGCGCAGAUAUCAGGAGGAACACCGGUGGCGAAGGCGGGUCUCUGGGCAGUAACUGACGCUGAGGAGCGAAAGCGUGGGGAGCGAACAGGAUUAGAUACCCUGGUAGUCCACGCCGUAAACGGUGGGUACUAGGUGUGGGUUUCCUUCCUUGGGAUCCGUGCCGUAGCUAACGCAUUAAGUACCCCGCCUGGGGAGUACGGCCGCAAGGCUAAAACUCAAAGAAAUUGACGGGGGCCCGCACAAGCGGCGGAGCAUGUGGAUUAAUUCGAUGCAACGCGAAGAACCUUACCUGGGUUUGACAUGCACAGGACGUGCCUAGAGAUAGGUAUUCCCUUGUGGUCUGUGUGCAGGUGGUGCAUGGCUGUCGUCAGCUCGUGUCGUGAGAUGUUGGGUUAAGUCCCGCAACGAGCGCAACCCUUGUCUCAUGUUGCCAGCACGUAAUGGUGGGGACUCGUGAGAGACUGCCGGGGUCAACUCGGAGGAAGGUGGGGAUGACGUCAAGUCAUCAUGCCCCUUAUGUCCAGGGCUUCACACAUGCUACAAUGGCCGGUACAAAGGGCUGCGAUGCCGUGAGGUGGAGCGAAUCCUUUAAAGCCGGUCUCAGUUCGGAUCGGGGUCUGCAACUCGACCCCGUGAAGUCGGAGUCGCUAGUAAUCGCAGAUCAGCAACGCUGCGGUGAAUACGUUCCCGGGCCUUGUACUCACCGCCCGUC
rnacentral:rRNA from 1 species